GUCUACGGCCCUACCACCCUGAACGUGCCUGAUUUCAUCUCAUCUUGGAAGCUAAGCAGGUUCAGGCCUGAUUAGGACUUGGAUGGGAGACAACAGCUAUUCUGAAUC
rnacentral:rRNA from 1 species